GAUGAAGAACGCAGCAAAAUGCGAUACGUAAUGCGAAUUGCAGAAUUCAGUGAAUCAUCAAAUCUUUGAACGCAAAUUGCGCUCUCGGGAUAGGCCUGAGAGCACGCCUCUUUGAGCAUCGAUUCUACCACAAGUCGACGACGUCCUUGCAAAAGGUCGCGCAGUCGGACAUUGAGCUUUGCUGGAUCCCUUGAUCUGACUGGCUUUAAAUAGAGCGAGAUGCACAGCGAUCAUACUGAACCUAGCAGUAAGCGAUCGGUGACGUGGAUAACUUCACAAUUCGUGAACCUUCCAAUACGUGACCGUCGUUAACUACGCUGCUCUGAGCAGUUGAUUGCAACGCGCAUCGGGAACGUCGCUUGCGACAACCUCUUUUGAAUUAGAUCUCAAAUGAAGCGAGAAAACCCGCUGAACUUAAGCAUAUCAAUAAGCGGAGGA
rnacentral:misc_RNA from 1 species